UACGAAGGGGGCUAGCGUUGCUCGGAAUCACUGGGCGUAAAGGGUGCGUAGGCGGGUCUUUAAGUCAGGGGUGAAAUCCCGGAGCUCAACUCCAGAACUGCCUUUGAUACUGAGGAUCUUGAGUACGGGAGAGGUGAGUGGAACUGCGAGUGUAGAGGUGAAAUUCGUAGAUAUUCGCAAGAACACCAGUGGCGAAGGCGGCUCACUGGCCCGUUACUGACGCUGAGGCACGAAAGCGUGGGGAGCAAACAGG
rnacentral:rRNA from 1 species